rnacentral:lncRNA from 1 species
GGGCAACAAGAGCAAGACUCUGUCUCCAAAGGAAAAAAAAAAAGAAAUCAUUCUGGAUUAGAGUGAGCCCUUACUCCAAUAUGAGUGGUGUCCUUAUACAAAGCGGGGUACAGACAGAGAGACACAGAUGCACAACAAUGUAAGUGAGGCAAGCAGGGAAGCCCUCACUGAGAAGACCCCUGAGAAGGUGAGAGGGUGAAAACCUUGAAGCCAGGAAAGGCAGAGGCACUGAAGCUGGCCAGACCAUGAGGCAUUCAAGGAACAGCAAGGGGACUGGAGAGGAGGGGAUAAGGGGGCUGUUGGAGCCAAGCCAUUGUAAAGACUUUGCUGUGUACCCUGAGUGAGAUGCUGUCUGUUUCCAGAUCCAUGAGUUGAAUCUCACUCAGAG